GAUUUACAUUGGCUUCUUGAAUUGAAUUAGAGAAUUUGAUUAUUGUUUUUAUAUAAACAUGUGGACCAGAUGAGUGGUCAUGUUAGGCCAAUGAGUGCCUUGGAUCCAGUGAUAGAGCAUGGCGGGGCCUGCUCGGGUUAGGUAUGACUGAUCAGCAUCCUAACCUUGGUUUAAAUUAAAAAUUUGAUAGUCCAAUUCAAUAAUUCUUAUGGAUGAUUGAAUUCCUUAGUUUUUCAUUGCUGCA
rnacentral:lncRNA from 1 species